ACUUCGGUACAUCGGUGACGGGUGGUGGCAUGGUUGUCGUCAGCUCGUGUCGUGAGAUGUUGGGUUAAGUCCCGCAACGAGCGCAACCCCUAUUGUUAGUUGCCAUCAUUCAGUUGGGCACUCUAGCGAGACUGCCGGUAAUAAACCGGAGGAAGGUGGGGAUGACGUCAAAUCAUCAUGCCCCUUAUGACCUGGGCUACACACGUGCUACAAUGGUUGGUACAACGAGUUGCGAGUCGGUGACGGCGAGCUAAUCUCUUAAAGCCAAUCUCAGUUCGGAUUGUAGGCUGCAACUCGCCUACAUGAAGUCGGAAUCGCUAGUAAUCGCGGAUCAGCACGCCGCGGUGAAUACGUUCCCGGGCCUU
rnacentral:rRNA from 1 species